rnacentral:rRNA from 1 species
UACGUAGGGGGCUAGCGUUGUCCGGAAUCAUUGGGCGUAAAGCGCGCGUAGGCGGCCCGGUAAGUCCGUUGUGAAAGUCAAAGGCUCAACCUUUGAAUGCCGAUGGAUACUGCCGGGCUCGAGUCCGGAAGAGGCGAGUGGAAUUCCUGGUGUAGCGGUGGAAUGCGCAGAUAUCAGGAGGAACACCAAUAGCGAAGGCAGCUCGCUGGGACGGUACUGACGCUAAGGCGCGAAAUCGUCGGGAGCGAACAGG